UGACUAUCAGGACAUGUUUCCGUGUGUUCUGUAACACAUUUCUACUCAGUUCAGACUUUAAUUUCUGAUACCCCACACACACAUAACCUUUUCUCAUUGAAAGCAAAUUCCCAUGCAAAUGUGAAGGAAAAAGAAGAAAUCUGAAAGGAAAAAUAGUAAUUUGCAACUCCUGAAAAACAGAAGAAAAAAUUGAUUCUAUUCCGGAGAACAGCUGCUUUUAUUUAUGCAUAAUCAAAUUCCAAAGCCAGAAGUUGUGACUCCUUGUCCUGUGUCCCCGCUAUCCAUGCCUGACUUUGAUCCUCACUGCUUUACAAUGAGGUAUGUCUUCUUAUUAAUUGUUUCUUUAUUUAAACUUAUGAAAAUCAGAUGUGGAAGUGUGCUACACAGUGUAUUUCCCCUUAAAAUUGCAAGUCUUGCAGUGCUUGCUAAUGUGCAGAUUGCGUGCCAUAAAUCC
rnacentral:lncRNA from 13 species